UACGUAGGCAGCGAGCGUUGUUCGGAAUUACUGGGCGUAAAGAGUGUGUAGGCGGUGCUCUAAGUUCGGUGUGAAAUCUCCCGGCUUAACUGGGAGGGUGCGCCGGAAACUGGAGUGCUCGAGCGUGGGAGAGGAAAGUGGAAUUCCUGGUGUAGCGGUGAAAUGCGUAGAUAUCAGGAGGAACACCGGUGGUGUAGACGGCUUUCUGGACCGUAACUGACGCUGAGACACGAAAGCGUGGGUAGCAAACAGG
rnacentral:rRNA from 1 species